AGGUUUCAGAAACAGACAAAUUAUAUUUAUUCAAAAAUUAUUAUACUAAUUAGGUUUUUAUAAUAGGUUGUAAAAAUCAUUUAAAAUCAAUUAUAGUAACAUUUAGUAUAAAAAUCAUUAUUCCCCAGUUCCCAGUAAAUAUGCCACGCGGUUUUCUUUGGUGUUUACCGACAAUCAUUGGGAACACGCGGCUUCGGCCACACCAAAAUAUAGAAGAUAAGCGGCAAA